AGGGGAAGUGGGCGGGGGGGCUAUACAUGCAAGUCGAACGCUUUGUGGUUCAACUGAUUUGAAGAGCUUGCUCAGAUAUGACGAUGGACAUUGCAAAGAGUGGCGAACGGGUGAGUAACACGUGGGAAACCUACCUCUUAGCAGGGGAUAACAUUUGGAAACAGAUGCUAAUACCGUAUAACAAUGACAACCGCAUGGUUGUUAUUUAAAAGAUGGUUCUGCUAUCACUAAGAGAUGGUCCCGCGGUGCAUUAGCUAGUUGGUAAGGUAAUGGCUUACCAAGGCGAUGAUGCAUAGCCGAGUUGAGAGACUGAUCGGCCACAAUGGGACUGAGACACGGCCCAUACUCCUACGGGAGGCAGCAGUAGGGAAUCUUCCACAAUGGGCGAAAGCCUGAUGGAGCAACGCCGCGUGUGUGAUGAAGGGUUUCGGCUCGUAAAACACUGUUGUAAGAGAAGAAUGACAUUGAGAGUAACUGUUCAAUGUGUGACGGUAUCUUACCAGAAAGGAACGGCUAAAUACGUGCCAGCAGCCGCGGUAAUACGUAUGUUCCAAGCGUUAUCCGGAUUUAUUGGGCGUAAAGCGAGCGCAGACGGUUAUUUAAGUCUGAAGUGAAAGCCCUCAGCUCAACUGAGGAAUUGCUUUGGAAACUGGAUGACUUGAGUGCAGUAGAGGAAAGUGGAACUCCAUGUGUAGCGGUGAAAUGCGUAGAUAUAUGGAAGAACACCAGUGGCGAAGGCGGCUUUCUGGACUGUAACUGACGUUGAGGCUCGAAAGUGUGGGUAGCAAACAGGAUUAGAUACCCUGGUAGUCCACACCGUAAACGAUGAGUGCUAGGUGUUUGAGGGUUUCCGCCCUUAAGUGCCGCAGCUAACGCAUUAAGCACUCCGCCUGGGGAGUACGACCGCAAGGUUGAAACUCAAAGGAAUUGACGGGGACCCGCACAAGCGGUGGAGCAUGUGGUUUAAUUCGAAGCAACGCGAAGAACCUUACCAGGUCUUGACAUCCCUUGACAACUCCAGAGAUGGAGCGUUCCCUUCGGGGACAAGGUGACAGGUGGUGCAUGGUUGUCGUCAGCUCGUGUCGUGAGAUGUUGGGUUAAGUCCCGCAACGAGCGCAACCCUUAUUACUAGUUGCCAGCAUUCAGUUGGGCACUCUAGUGAGACUGCCGGUGACAAACCGGAGGAAGGUGGGGAUGACGUCAAAUCAUCAUGCCCCUUAUGACCUGGGCUACACACGUGCUACAAUGGCGUAUACAACGAGUUGCCAACCCGCGAGGGUGAGCUAAUCUCUUAAAGUACGUCUCAGUUCGGAUUGUAGGCUGCAACUCGCCUACAUGAAGUCGGAAUCGCUAGUAAUCGCGGAUCAGCACGCCGCGGUGAAUACGUUCCCGGGUCUUGUACACACCGCCCGUCACACCAUGAGAGUUUGUAACACCCAAAGCCGGUGGGGUAACCUUCGGGAGCCAGCCGUCUAAGGGGGACAGGAA
rnacentral:rRNA from 1 species